rnacentral:rRNA from 1 species
CCUAGCCCUUCAGAGGGGGACAACAGUUGGAAACGACUGCUAAUACCGCAUACGAUCUAACCUCGGCAUCGAGGAUGGAUGAAAGGUGGCCUCUAUUUAUAAGCUAUCACUGAAGGAGGGGAUUGCGUCUGAUUAGCUAGUUGGAGGGGUAACGGCCCACCAAGGCGAUGAUCAGUAGCCGGUCUGAGAGGAUGAACGGCCACAUUGGGACUGAGACACGGCCCAG